AAAUCCACCGCCAUUUAUCACGCACUGAAUUACACGAUAAAUGGCCUUUAAUCACAGGGUUGGGGGCUUUCCCCGAACUCUAGACCUUGAAUUACCCAAUGACCCAAAUACAAAGUAAAUAAAGUAAUGCACCAGGGUGGGAUGACUUACACAAACUCAUUAAAUGAUCUGGGUAAAAAAACUUUCAGAUUCCAGGGCCGCAAAAAGCCAUUUGGAAACUAUUGCUGGCACCAGAAAUCAUGGACAAAUUACAUGUGCCACCAAGCACUAAUAAUGUGUGUCCGUAUCAUGUCCGCCCACACAGUGGCGUACACACAAUACAUG